CCAUGUGUAAAAGCAGAUAUGGGAUACCUCAGUGUAGACAUACUCUUAGACUUGGCAGGAACCAGUAGAUGGUGUACCUAAGAAAGUGAAGUCCUGCAGAUUGGAAGAGAACUCUCCUCUGGAAAACUCCUCAUUUUGAAGGUACCCACGGGAAGGGACUACAACCUAAUUCUGAAAACUGGACCUUUUCUAUGACACCAUCUUGGCCUUAUCAACUGUCUCCCUUCAUCCACAUUGGAACAGAGAAUGAGGAGGAAGUUAUGCUUUCCUGAGAGGCUGGAGACCUAGGAUUUCUUGGACUCAUGACAUUACUUGGAUUUUAUAUACUUUUUCUAGGCUUUAUAGUUGGGAGAACGGGCACCUUGCACAAGCAUAUUCUCUAGGAAAAUAGUUAUGGACUAAAGCAACAUGGGACACAACAGGGGCUCUUGAGAGCUGAAUUGCCAAAGUGGGAAGGAGCUUCAAGUGUUUGAUGCUUUCCUGUCACUGGGCCCAAGCCUGCUGAAUGCCCACGUGCUCCGGUCUCGGUGAAAUUUCCCCGAUACAGGUGAAUGUUCCUGCUGCUCGGAGGUGAACAGCACAGGUGUGGUCAGUGGGCCAAGCGUCUGUUCUUGGCACAGAAUCCAUUGUCACCUGUAUUGCUCUACAAAGAGUGCAGCAGAAAGCUGCUCUGAUGUGGU